UAGAUCAAGAAUUACUUGUGAUAUCCCAAACCAACAUGAAAGCCACUGUAGCUGUAUUCAUUAGCUUGGCUAUCCUUUUUAGCCUGGUAGCUCAAUACGAGGCAAGCAUAACUGGACUUUUUUCAAGACCAUCUACAGGAAAAAGAAGUGAUAAGGGGAGUCAAGGCAGCCUGUGGGAAGAACGUGCGUUGACGACAAACAGAGAGGAAAUAUGUGAGAUGGCAAGAGAAUAUAAAUGCUAAAAAAGACGAAAUGAAAGAGAAGAACAAAAAUAAAAGCCACUGCAUUGACAUCAAGAACUUUUAAUGCCAAUAAAUAAAAUGGAAUGAAUGACGUG